rnacentral:tRNA from 1 species
GCGGCUGUGGCUGACUGGUUAUACGGUGUUCGCUUCAUAAGCGAAUGGUUCUGAGUUCGAUUCCCAUCUGCUCCC